AUGUUUCCAUUCAAGUUUAAGAGGAAGCAAUUUCCUAUAAGGCUUAGCUUUGCUAUGACGAUUAACAAGGCUCAGGGGCAGACGAUCCCGAUUGUUGGUGUGUGUCUACCUAAUCUGGUGUUCUCUCAUGGUCAACUCUAUGUUGCUUUGUCUCGAGGCACCGCAAAGAGAAACAUAAAAAUACUAAUUCAGAAGGAGAAGCCAAAGGAGAAGUCCAACAAGCAACAUAACAAUCGGAAGAAGCGAAAAAGACCGACCGUGUCCUUGCUGACCUCAAUGAAGAACAUCGUCUACAAGGAAGUACUUAUAGGCUGA
rnacentral:rRNA from 1 species